AAUUUAGCCCUGUUGUAUAAAUUGCAAUGAUGUAUUAACCCAGCUGUCCAUUUGGUGUCAGAAGGUCUGCCUGCUGUGGUUGGAAAACAAAUGAGUCACAGAGCACCAAGGCAACGGAAAGUGACCACAUCACUUUCACAUCAAAAGAGGGGGGGGGGGAAGGGCAGAGGAAUAACAGUCCCAACAUCCACCCACCAGAUCCUCCAGCAUCAGUAAAGGUGCUUCCAGUGUUUUCCUGCUUUGGAGAUCUAAUUUUAACAAGAAACACACCGAAAACACCAACCAGUGGCAGCUGCAGAAAUUAUGCAUUUAUUUACAUAUGUUUAUCCCUUGCUCGGGUGCCAACAGGUUCCCGGAAUGGCUAAUGAUGAACUCGGGCAAGGAAAAUAACAAGCCACAAUUACAUGGAAACAGCAAAA